rnacentral:rRNA from 1 species
CGAACGGGUGCGUAACACGUGAGCGACCUGCCUUUCCGCGGGGGAUAGCCGGCCCAACGGCCGGGUAAUACCGCAUACGCUGCUCAGGGGGCAUCCCUUGGGUAGGAAACCUCCGGGGCGGAGAGAGGGGCUCGCGACCUAUCAGCUAGUUGGCGAGGUAACGGCUCACCAAGGCGGCGACGGGUAGCUGGUCUGAGAGGAUGGCCAGCCACAUUGGGACUGAGAUACGGCCCAG